AGUGAGAACAUCAAGUUGUAACCACUGGACCACGAGGGAAUUUCCUCAUUCAGCCAUAAGGACCAGGAUAAUGUGGCAAAGCUUUUCUUAGAGCUUUUUCCAGCAUCAGGGGAAGAAAGCAUUGCCAAUAGUCACCUCUCAAAGAAUGUCUCGAUCAUUGCUCAUUUACCUAAGACCCUGUGUGCUGCUGUGCAUCAAUCCAUUAUGAAGACGCCACCACCUCCGCACCACCAAAGGAGUGAACACUGGAAACGAAGGGAAACCGCCUGCUUUCAUGGCUCUCAUCUCAUACAUCCAUGAGCGAUGCUCACGGGCUUACGUGGCCCUCCUUUGAGACAUGUUAUCACAAUAUUUAAUGGGUCCUCCAAACUGUAUUCCAAAGGAUCUCAAAGUCCUUUCAAUAUUGUGAACGUACAACAAAGUAUUUUGUCCUAAGUUUUUAACAUUUGUGAGAGUUAUAAGCUGCUUUGUCAUUAAUAUCCAUCAAAUGGAGGACACUUGGCUGAAAAUGAAGAAAAGAUUUAUUAAAUUUAGUUUCAGUUCCAUUCAUGGGACUGAAAUAUAUGCAGGAAUAUGAAAAAGACUAAUGUCCCCAUGUUAAAGAAAUCGAUUUCCAGGGUGCCAAGCAGAAAAGUGUAAUUGAAAUUGACCCAUUAAAUGAUUGCAUUAUUUGUGUACCAAAUCUAAUAUAUUUCACAAAACUAUAGAGCUGUUUCAGUAACUACCUGCCAAACUGUAUAUAUUGUUCCUAAUUAAGUUUUAUAAAUGUACUUAUAGAAAUGUGAGGUAGCAGAAUUAUCCAAGUAAUAUGUCUCUACAUUUAUGAAACCUGUUCCAGAGAAUUAAGACAAGGUAGUGCAUUUCUAAUCUCAUGACUACUUCAGGACUAGUGAAAGCUGUAAUAAACAAGGUGACUAAAUGAAUAUUUAAGGGAAGCGUCUCAGUUAAAUUUCUAAAACAUACUUGGAAAUACACCUGCUUCUGUUUUAACUUCUAGCAUUGCCCCUGGUAAAUCACACUGUAGUAAACACUUGACCUCUUACAUAUUUAAAGCUUAUUUUCUGAGUACCUACUAUGUGCCAGGCACAUGCAUUUUCAAAUCUGUAAUUUUCCUUAAUCCUAGCAACAACUCAGUGAAGCGGCCAUUAUUCUUGUUUGGCUGGUGAGAGAUGAUGAGCAACUCAAUUAAGGUACAAAAUAUUUAAUUUUAUGGCUGCUUUUAAUCUUUUUCCCUCCCUUCUUUAUUAGACUGUAUGUUUCUGAAGGGCAGAAAUAAUGCCCUAUUCAUCUUUUUGUACUGAAAGAAUAAAAGAAAAAUCUGUUAUUUUCCAUAUGACUUAAAGAUCCUUUCCCCUUCCAGUUUUGUUUACAUUCCAUUUUCAUUGAAAACAAAUAAAAGACUCUAAGAUAUUGUGCAUUUUUCCAUUUUACCAAAUUGAAGUAUAUAUU